UUUCAUACGAAACAUUUCCUGGACGAUCGGCAAACAGGAAGAGACGACCAGUUUGUUUCGUCACUUCACCCACUUUUACUUGCGAUAUUCAGUAUUCAAUACUGAAUAUGACUAUCCGGAAACAUCUCCUGUGUCCUCUCCUGUGGGCAGCAACCGCGCUCUGUGUUGCGAAAGAUUGCAGUAAUCAUAUAUCCAUAGUUGGUGUUGAAGGAGAAGAUAUUGUUUUGGCACCAUCAGUUGCAGGCAAUGGCAGCCUAACAAGUAUUUAUUGGAAGAAAGGAGAAGAUAUAGUGGUUGGCUCCAGGUUCAGUAUUCCUUCUGAAAAGGAAAAACAAAGAUGGAGUUUUGAUUCUUCCUCUGGCAAUUUGUCUCUCAAAAACCUUUCAAAGGAGGAUACUGGAACUUACACAGCAAAAAUUUUCAUUAAUGAGGAAAUCAAAGAAACCUGUUUUGAUCUGAAAAUACUAGUACGGCCUGAUAUAAAUUGCACUGUUAACAAUGAUACCAUUCAAUUAAACUGUACAUCAGCAAGUCAGGAUCUACCUCUGGCAUACUCCUGGGAUGUCAGCAGAAAUGAAGAAAUAAUCUCUGUGAAGAAUUCGGUUAUUCAGCUUCAGAGGAACUCAAACCAUUUUCAGAAAAUUACAUGUUAUGUUGUAGCUUCCAAUUCAAACGCCAGCAAUUUCAUCAAUCUGAGUGAUUGUAUUAUACCGGUAGAAGAACCUGUUCAUCAAUCAAGAAGUAGAAUAUCAUUAAUUGCAAUAGCAAUAAUUCCAGUUCUAAUGAUAGUUUACUUCUACAUAAUGAAGUAUCUGAAAACACGGAGAAAAAGAACCUUUAAUGAAUCAGAAUCUGCAGCAAAGAAUGCAAGAGGAAAUUAUAAGGAAGAGAGUUCUGAGUUGCCAGAAUAAGAAAGAAAGUCACUUACUAAAUCUGAAUUGGAGAGUAUGGGAAAAAGAGAAGAACGUGAAGAAACUUCUAGGCUUGAAUCUUGAAAGGAGUCAGAGGUAAUUUUUUCAAGGAUGAAAGGUGACAACACGAAAGUACCUCUGCAGCCUCUCUUCAAUCCAAUUCAUACGUUACCUCCUUUUAUCAAUUUUGCUGAAUUGUAAUUGGUUUUAUGUUGCUUUUCAACUGUUUUUAUUUUAUUCAUAUCAUGUUCUAAUUUAUUAUGGAAUUUUAAAUAGUUAUGGACUGCUUUAUUUAUUUCAUGAGCUCUUUUAUGUACCACUAUGAAAACAAACAAGAGACAGUAAGAAAAUGAACAAAAGAAAGAAGAGAUAUAGAAUAAACUCAGAAUUGUUGUCUCCUUCAAAACCAUUGAAUCAUCCUAAAAUUGCUGAAUAUUUAGCAACAAAAAGCAAGCAAGCAAACAAACAAAAAACACCAGUGGGUACAGUCAGUAAUAAAAUAAACCAAGAAGUUCCAAUGAUGUUUUUAUUGCCUGUGAUGUUCUGGAAUGGGAUUUCAAAACUGAGACCGAGCACACCAGCAGCUAGAUCUUUCUUCCUCUCUGGGAAGAAUCAUACCAACUGAAUGAUUUAACAGCAGAGCUUCACCCUGAGGUUGAUACACCUCUUGCCCACCCUCUUCAUAUUUUUCUAAAGCAGAUCAACUUGAAUAUUUAAGAAACGAAUAAGUCCAUAACAAGACAAUGCCUUCUAACUGCACAGACUGUCAAUUCUAUGUUUGAGCUAUUGUCAAUAAUAAAUAAAUAAUAACAUGGAUACUUUUUUUUGGGGGGGGGGGGAUCUUUGAAAGAGCUAAUCAAAAUCAUUCAAACAAAUCAAAAUUGUACAUGGGAUGGAGCCAGGAGAUGGAAGAAUUCUGAUGUUAAGAAUUGG